UAGUCACAAGGCUUUGAUGGUGAUGACAUAAAAACGCCUCAUCAUUAUGAAUGCUGCAGCUAUCCAAGUAAACCGUGAAAAAAGACCACAUGAGGACUACUGAAGUUUGUAGGGCUAAACUAAAGACGCUCAGAGAGGCCACAGUUCCUGGUUAGGAUGUAUCGAUUCAUCAACCGUGAUAAAGGAGUCAGUGGCUUCGAAGUAAUACUCUGGUUCUUGACUACCAUCGCCGUGGCGGUCUUCAUCUGGAUGUGGACGAUUUCCCCGUCCACUUGCCCUACGCGCGUGAGCGAGGAGGCCGUCGCCCGUCUGAACGGCACCGAGCACCUGCCGACGUCGGCCUUUGUCGACAAGAACGUGCACAGGGUGCACGUCGUCGGCAUGUUCAGGAGGGACGCGGUGCAGCAGCUGCGUUGUGUCUUCUGCUGCCACGGCUUCUUGUCCAAACCGGGCCUGGCGAGGGUUCUACCGCGUACCCGAGACUUCGGCUCGCCCUACGUCUACAGCCUCCUGUGUCGGGUGCCGCUGGACUGCCCGGUCACGCGUGUGGUGGCCCUCGGAGUCGGUGAGGGGAACCUGAUGUGGCUGCCCAUACAAUGAAAGAAAAAAAAGUUAUAUGAAUGUAUAUUGGUGGCGAAUGAUUCAAUUGUGGUAAACUGACGAAAUUUCCCCUCUUCUGCUCAGUUAGCGAAAAUGCUUGGAAAACCACCACAUUUGUUGUUCAUGUUCAUUUGUUAGUUAAUGUUACACUGCACGUGGACCGGGUUGGACUGCGAAUAGCGAAAAUCCGCCCAUUAUAAUGAAAGAAAAAAACGUUUUUUGUUUGUUUUUUUUAAACCCCCAAGAUUCUUGAAUAAGUGGCAAUAACCUGCUCAUAUCCAUUUUUGGGGUUGGUUCCUUCCCAAAAAAGAAAACCAAAAUUAAAUAAAUGGAAACGAUUUGAAAAAAAUCUAAAUCUGCAAAUAUCCGCGGGUGCACGCGGGGGUCCACUGUACACCUAUUCGUUAUGUAAAGGUAAACUCAUUUCUUGGUGUCCAGUUGACGUGGUUUGAACUGUCUGUCUUUAAAUGACAGUAUUAACUGAAGGUAUAUAUUUAUAGCUUUAAAGCAAUUUUCUUAAUUGCCUAAAGUUUUCUAACUCCCCCAAAACCCAACUGUGAUAGAAAAAAUAAAAAAAUGCUCACCUCAAAUAAAUUGUAGACAGAAUAAAACACAACUGAUUUUGAGGUUGCAUUGAAAAACUCAAUUCUGUACCACUCAAAACAUCCAUCCAUCCGUCCGUUUUCUGAGCCGCUUCUCCCCACUAGGGUCGCGGGCGUGCUGGAGCCUAUCCCAGCUGUCAUCGGGCAGGAGGCGGGGUCCACCCUGAACUGGUUGCCAGCCAAUCGCAGGGCACAUAGAAACAAACAACCAUUUGCACUCACAGUCAUGCCUACGGGCAAUUUAGAGUCUCCAAUUCAUGCAUGUUUUUGGGAUGUGGGAGGAAACCGGAGUGCCUGGACAAACCCCACACAGGCGGGGCCGGGGAUUGAACCCGGGUCCUCAGAACUGUGAGGCUGACGCUCUAACCAGUCGUCCACCGUGCGGCCCGCUCAAAACAUAUUUAAUAUAUUUUAGACAUUACACAGCAGCUGUAGCAAUGGAAUUGGAAGCGAGCAACAGAUAAAUAAAAUGAUACGCUAAAUCCACAGCCUCAAAUGACAGGAAUGUAAUGAUACAAAUUAAAUAUUAAACAUAAAUCAUAUUUUUAAAAAUGCUAAAUAUUGCUGCAACGCAAACAACCCUGUUAAUGACCAAAUGAACAACAUAACCUACAGUGAAGCAUGGUGGCAUCCUAUAUAUUAUAUUAGUGGUUCUCAAAGUGUGGUAUCCCAAAGAAUAUGCCUAGACACAGUUCAGUUGUAUUUAACUUUUUAGUACAUACUUACGGCAAUACACUUGUACACUGAUGUCAAAGUGAAAUUACAGGACUAUAAGCCACACAAAAAAAAGAUGACUUAUGAUAAUUUAACCCUUAAAAAUAAAUAACUCAGACAGAGCACUGCACUUACUGACUGGCCACAUCAAAAAAUGUGUUCCAGGCUGGCUGGUGGACAAAUGUAAAGCUUAAUUCACAUUUCAGAUGAUCUGGCAAGACGUGUUGUUGUAGAUGUAGAUGUCUGGAAGGCUGGAAAUACCAAUGCAUGCGAUGUGCUGUAAACAUGAGGCCGCCUGAAUCUGAUGAGAAUCACAAACAUGCACUGCUUUCGCACACAUUUCCUAUUAUCCUGCUUAAGUGAUGCCCCCUUGUGCUAUUUUAAUGCAACUCCAUGCUGUAUUUUAUGUUUACAGUAUUUUAGCACACACUCCAUUCAAGCAUAAAGACAAAUAAAAAUAUUUUAAAAUUCAAUUAAUUGAGGUUGUUUUAAGAUGAAAGGGGGCUAGGGGGGGAAACCCUAGUAAAUCACCCCAUAAGAUGAAAGUGAUAUGUUUGAUGGGGUUUUCAUUUCUUGUAACUUGUAUGAGUGGUCUCAGAUUAUCAUCUGUCUUUCAUAUAGGUAAUUUUGGUACAUUCUCUUCUCUUUGUAGAAUCUCAAAAAAGGAAGUUGUAUUUCAAGUGUGGUCUACAGUGUUCCAGUUUACAUAUCGGUACACUCAUAUGUUCCAGUUUUCAAUGAUUGAACUUUCUACUGUGUUGGUGUCACCACUGGGCUCAUGGUAUUUUUGAUUGACAAUGAAGUGAGGAUAAGCGGUACGGAAAAUUAAUGAAGGAAUAAUAAUUUAAAAAAAAAAGAAAAAGUUAGUCAUUUUCCAGUUUGCUAAAUAUAUGUAAACGUUUAUGAUUUAGUUUGUAUUUGUGAAAGUACUUGCACAGAGGGGAAAUUGACGCACAUUAUGCUAAUACAGAACUUGCUUCAAAACUAGAAUAGUUGAAGUGAGCAGAGGGCUUCAUUUAGUCAGGCAACUAUAGAUUAAGGCUAAAAUAUAAGAUUAUAGAUUACAAGCCAUUUUGGAUUUUCACGACUCACGUUUCAAUUCUGUGGCCCCACGCUGCAACACAAGCACCAAGACAACACUUGAAAAUCAUAAUUUCCUUUUGUGACUCAUCUAAUGACAAAAAAAAUAAAUAAAAUUCCAAACAGCGCCCAGAAAAAAACACACGACAGAUAAGAUCACAUACAUUAGGUGCUACUCGCCAGCAGGUGUCAAAUAAGUACAAUAAGUGGUAAAAUAAUGUCAGUACUAUUGAUAAAAUGCUUUUUAAAAAAAUGCAGUCCUGUGAUUACCAUACAGAAAAUUCACACGAUUAUAUUAAAUUGAAAUAUACACAAUCUUUACAAAUACGAUUUAAAAACUGCCGAAAUAUCAGCAAUAUAAAUUCGAUUUAAAAACUGCUGAAAUAUCAGCAAUAUAAAUACGAUCUGUUAUGCUCUGAAUCUGCAAUAGUUGAACUGCGGCACACCGAGGGAUUACUGUACUGUAUAAUAUGUUGAGAUUAUCUUUAUAAAAUAAAUACAUAAAUUCUGACCAGUGGAUUAUAGAUUAUUUUGCGAGGCUGUUUCCUGGCCCAGAGCGUAUCUUCGUUUGAGACACUUCUGCUGUUUGAAGAUUAAAAUAGCUGCCAGAGCAGUGGCAAUUACCACGCCCAAAACGCCACCUGCAACAAUAGCUGUGCACAAUAUAAAACAGAUUUAAUAUACAUUUCUUUUGUCUACCAAAAAUACAAAAUAAUGUUUAUAUCGAGCAAUACCUGCAACAUUGUCCUUGUUCUCCAAGAAGCUCGUGUGUUUCCCUUUUGUAAAAAUGGCUGAGUUCAUGUCUUGGGCAAGCUCUUUUAAAUAUUUCAAGUCGAGUUUGGAACCACCCUAAAAGACAAACUUAAUAUUAUUCUUGAUCGUGUUUAAUUAAGGUACCACUUGAUCAUAUACUGUAAUAGCAAAAGAAUGACAUGAAAAGUAGUACAAAAACAUUCAUCAAAAAAGUCUGUCACCCGGCGACGUGCGAACAUAUUAAACAUGCAUGUAACGUGUUGAGAGUCGUACGUGUUUGGGCUUGGUUUCUAACUCUUCAUCCUUGAUAUUGUCACCUGGUAGGGGGGAAAAAAAGGAAGAUAUAAUUACAUAAUAGGUGCAUCUCAAUAACUUUGAAUAUUGUGGAAAAACUCCCAAAUUUACAACUCUACAUAUUAGAAUAUUACUUAAUAUAUGAUCAUGUUUCCAUAUACUGUAGAAAAAAAAAAAGCAAAAUGAAUGAGUUUCACUUUUUGAAUUGAACUAGUGACUUUUGGACAUGUAUAAUCAAAAUAGAAAAAUAAGGUACUCAGAUUCUAAUACUGAAUUUAUAAUGGGGACCAAGUAUUACCGUCAUCGCCAUUGUCCUGGUUAUAGCCUGAUACAUCAAUGUCUUCGGUAGCAUCACAAAACUAAUUAAAUGAAGGGAACAAUGGUCAAGAAAUAAGACAUCUGGUGGAAUAAAGAAAUGCAUCAUGUCUAAGUAGCAAGAACCCCUUAUGUCAAUGUCAAUCACAGACGCACAUAUCAACAAACAAAAGUAUUUGGCACCAUCUCGUGGAAUCUUCGUGUUGUUAGGUUUAAUUGAUUGGUGUUUUUUCAUCUGUGUUUGAGAUCUCCUGUUUUGUUCAGUCCUUUUAUGCAACUCGUGCACACUGUAAAACUUAAGUUUGUUUUUGCCUCCCCCCCCCCCUGAUGCAGCUACUCAUGGCCCAUGUGGUCUACUUUACCAUUACAUUUUGCUUGUAUUCUCCAACAUUUAUUUUUAUGUCUAAAUGUCAAAAGGUGAGCUUAAUUAAAUUUGUUGUAAAGUGCUCUUGUGCAUAUUUCUUUGCCAUGAAUGACGUCACGUCACUUUGUGCUAGCAAUUUAUUUAGGCUCACAUGCUAGCUAAAACUGUUAAUAAGCCGCCUGUGUUCGUGGCUUGUUUAUGUCAAAUGGUUUAACUACUGAAUUCAGUCGUUUAUGUAACGUGGGUUCCUGAUUGUGUACGUGCUAGUUGCAUGGUGUUGAUGCUUUAUGAUCCUUUGUUGCCUGUGCUUCUGAUUUGCGCUCCCUUCCAGUGCUCGCACAGCAACAACUACAGGACACUUCUGAUGACUAAACGUGCAUGCAUGACAGUGUCUACAAAGACACACGCCCAUGGGAAUUAGUUGCUUGGUGUGGCCUCACUCGCCCAAUUGCUAUACACAACCUUUAUUUCAAUCACAUCACAUUUAUGUAUUUGAGGUAUCCUGUUGAUAAAAGCUGUUGUCCUCAAACAGACCAUCAAGAUGGUGCACCACCCCCACAUUGGGGACUGCGUGCUUGCAAGCCCGAAAACCUGGCCAACUCCUUCACCAGAUAUCACUCCCCUGGACUUUUUUCUAUGAUGAUAUUUUAAAAAGUACAUGGUACAUACAUACAGGGAAAAAAAAAAAACAUUCAAACUCCCAUUCACACCUAAGGACAAUCGUCAAUGAACCUGCCAUGCAUGUUUUUGGAAUGUGGGAUGAAACUGCUGAAACCCACACAAGCAUGGGGAGAACAUGCAAACGCCACAGUGAGGUCGGAGCUGAGAUUCGAACCCCCAACCUCAGAACUGUGACGUGAACGUCCAAGCUAAAGCGCCAUGUUGGAGAGAACUUUUGACUUCAUCGUGGAUUCUUGAACUACCCCCUACCCCAAAAAAAAAAAAAAUUACAUAUGUAUUGCCAGUCUAUUAUGGAAAUUAUCUUCAAUAACGCUCAGUGUUGAUUGAUAUCCUCAUCUAGUUGUUAUCCAAACCAUUAUCUUAAUUGUGUUAGUUGGUCUGGAGCUAUUUCAUCUAUUUCGGUUUGCUUAUUUCGCGAGACGAGAAAAUGUUUUAUGAUUAAGUAGUUCGGCAGCACUAUAAACCAAUGAAUAAUACAUAUUUAAAUUCAUGCGGCACAAUUUAGUAAAAAAACCCAAAAAACUAGCAUUUCAGAUGUGAGACGAAUCUGCGAGUGCGGAAAUAAGGCGUUUAAAACGUCUCCGAGUCAAGCGUAAAUCAGGCUUACCGAUUUUUCCACUGUGAAUAAGGAGACCAAAAAUAAAGUCGUUAAUAUUU